rnacentral:rRNA from 1 species
CAGCAGCAGCCGCGGGAAUACGUAGGGUGCAAGCGUUAAUCGGAAUUACUGGGCGUAAAGCGUGCGCAGGCGGUUAUAUAAGACAGAUGUGAAAUCCCCGGGCUCAACCUGGGAACUGCAUUUGUGACUGUAUAGCUAGAGUACGGCAGAGGGGGAUGGAAUUCCGCGUGUAGCAGUGAAAUGCGUAGAUAUGCGGAGGAACACCGAUGGCGAAGGCAAUCCCCUGGGCCUGUACUGACGCUCAUGCACGAAAGCGUGGGGAGCAAACAGGAUUAGAUACCCCCGUAGUCCCUGUCUCUUAUAC